rnacentral:tRNA from 1 species
GCGGUAUUAGCUCAGCUGGAUAGAGCGACUGGCUACGGACCAGUAGGCCUGGGGUUCGAAUCCUCAAUGCCGCGCCA